rnacentral:rRNA from 1 species
AACGAACGCUGGCGGCAUGCCUAACACAUGCAAGUCGAACGAGACCUUCGGGUCUAGUGGCGCACGGGCGCGUAACGCGUGGGAACCUGCCCUUAGGUUCGGAAUAACUCCCCGAAAGGGGUGCUAAUACCGGAUAAUGUCUUCGGACCAAAGAUUUAUCGCCUUUGGAUGGGCCCGCGUUGGAUUAGCUAGUUGGUAGGGUAAAAGCCUACCAAGGCGACGAUCCAUAGCUGGUCUGAGAGGAUGAUCAGCCACACUGGGACUGAGACACGGCCCAGACUCCUACGGGAGGCAGCAGUGGGGAAUAUUGGACAAUGGGCGAAAGCCUGAUCCAGCAAUGCCGCGUGAGUGAUGAAGGCCUUAGGGUUGUAAAGCUCUUUUACCCGGGAUGAUAAUGACAGUACCGUGAGAAUAAGCUCCGGCUAACUCCGUG